rnacentral:rRNA from 1 species
AUUGAACGCUGGCGGCAUGCCUUACACAUGCAAGUCGAACGGCAGCAUGAUCUAGCUUGCUAGAUUGAUGGCGAGUGGCGAACGGGUGAGUAAUACAUCGGAACGUGCCCUGUAGUGGGGGAUAACUAGUCGAAGGAUUAGCUAAUACCGCAUACGACCUGAGGGUGAAAGUGGGGGACCGCAAGGCCUCAUGCUAUAGGAGCGGCCGAUGUCUGAUUAGCUAGUUGGUGAGGUAAAGGCUCACCAAGGCGACGAUCAGUAGCUGGGCUGAGAGGACGAUCCGCCACACUGGGACGGGGACACGGCCCAGACUCCUACGGGAGGCAGCAGUGGGGAAUGUUGGACAAUGGGCGAAAGCCUGAUCCAGCAAUGCCGCGUGUGUGAAGAAGGCCUUCGGGUUGUAAAGCACCUUUGUCCGGAAAGAAAUGGCUCUGGUUAAUACCUGGGGUCGAUGACGGUACCGGAAGAAUAAGGACCGGCUAACUACGUGCCAGCCGCCGCGGUAA